AGACGUCUACAUUAGAUACCCCCGUAGUCCUAGCCGUAAACGAUACUCGCUAGGUGUCGGCCACGGUGCGACCGUUGUCGGUGCCGUAGGGAAGCCGCGGAGCGAGCCACCUGGGAAGUACGGCCGCAAGGCUGAAACUUAAAGGAAUUGGCGGGGGAGCACAACAACGGGUGGAGCUUGCGGUUUAAUUGGAUUCAACGCCGGAAAUCUUACCGGGACCGACAGCAACAUGAAGGCCAAGCUGAAGACUUUGCCGGAUUAGCUG
rnacentral:rRNA from 1 species